GCGGCAGGCCUAACACAUGCAAGUCGAGCGGUAGCACAGAGAGCUUGCUCUCGGGUGACGAGCGGCGGACGGGUGAGUAAUGUCUGGGAAACUGCCUGAUGGAGGGGGAUAACUACUGGAAACGGUAGCUAAUACCGCAUAACGUCGCAAGACCAAAGUGGGGGACCUUCGGGCCUCAUGCCAUCAGAUGUGCCCAGAUGGGAUUAGCUAGUAGGUGGGGUAAUGGCUCACCUAGGCGACGAUCCCUAGCUGGUCUGAGAGGAUGACCAGCCACACUGGAACUGAGACACGGUCCAGACUCCUACGGGAGGCAGCAGUGGGGAAUAUUGCACAAUGGGCGCAAGCCUGAUGCAGCCAUGCCGCGUGUAUGAAGAAGGCCUUCGGGUUGUAAAGUACUUUCAGCGAGGAGGAAGGCGUUAAGGUUAAUAACCUUAGCGAUUGACGUUACUCGCAGAAGAAGCACCGGCUAACUCCGUGCCAGCAGCCGCGGUAAUACGGAGGGUGCAAGCGUUAAUCGGAAUUACUGGGCGUAAAGCGCACGCAGGCGGUCUGUCAAGUCGGAUGUGAAAUCCCCGGGCUCAACCUGGGAACUGCAUUCGAAACUGGCAGGCUAGAGUCUUGUAGAGGGGGGUAGAAUUCCAGGUGUAGCGGUGAAAUGCGUAGAGAUCUGGAGGAAUACCGGUGGCGAAGGCGGCCCCCUGGACAAAGACUGAC
rnacentral:rRNA from 1 species